CCCCGGGCGAGGCUGCCAAGCUCCCCGCUGCUGCCGCGCUCGGCUUGGCCGGCGGCCGCAGCUGGAGGAGGAAGGAAGGCUAGAGAAUCUUAUUCACUUGGAGAAUAGAGCCCUGAUGGUUGCUUGCACAGAGGGGGAAAAGCAGAGAGGAAUACGGGAACCGUCCUGUGCAAUCCCUAUUGUUUGAAACUUACUUUAUAUCAGAAAUUGAAGAUGAAAACGGAAAAGAAAUGGAACAAGUUCAAUAACUGUCCAGUCUGAUAUCUUAAGGAAUCUUACAAAUACUUAUCCUGAAUUGAGAAAAUGACUGCAGAUAUAGAAGAAAGUACAGGUUAUUGGAAAAGAAUACCUGUCAAAAGGUGGAACAUCCAAUAGUUAAUUUGAAGUAAUAUAAAAUAAAUAUACCUGACCUGUUAUGGUGCGAUUCUGG
rnacentral:lncRNA from 14 species